UACAGGGGUAUGUAAUGGUGAACGGGGACAGGACAAGUGAAGUUCUACGGACUAUAGCCUACCCGAUUGACGGAGUUUCAAUUCGUGGAGGUUCUUGAUCGUGCAAGUGGAAAAUAACUCCUGAGAGCUCCUAUAUCCUUGAAUUGUUUCUGUUUACUUUUCUAGCUCGAAUUGUUAUUUACUUGAAUGUCAUUGUUUUACUCGUCAAUUGUGAUUGUUAUUUGAACAACGUGCUUGCAUGUGUGUUUUCUCGGCCUCACGAGUAAUUGCUCACCCCGUAGAUUUGUUUUCCUUAACAGGAAUGGACGUGGAGCAAAAUUCAGAGAAACCCUCGAGAUGUACUUUUGUAUUAGGGUUUUAAAUGUAAUUGACUAGACAUUUUGACUGUUGUAUAUUUUCGGAAUUGAUAUAUCUUUUGUUAACCUAAUGUAAGACUUGGAUAGUCGAUUAUGGAAACGACUUUUCUUUAUUAGGCUUGUAGUAAUUGUUAUGUAUCGUUAAACUUGAAUCGAAUUGUCUUGAGUCCUGGCGAGAGUUGGGCAGGCGUCCCACGGAUACCCUUUGGUUCGCCUUAGGGAGAAGUGGGGGCGUCAUAGCAAGGGGCCAGCAACUGAAGACAGUGAUGAUGAUAAGGAAACUGCAGAAGAAGAAGUGGAUCCUGCUCAGUUUCGCCUAGCAAGGAGGAGACCUGGAUCAUCCAAGAUUACUAUUUAGGCACCUUUAGGUACUUGCACUUUAUUUUAGGAUAGCAUCUCAUAGUAGACAUUUGCAUCUUUUGUAUUUUGACAAUUCAAGUACUCUGUACUUAGUAUUCUGGUUAUUUGGUUAAACUCUGGUUUGUAGUUUAUUUGGUUCACUUUUAUAUCUUGAUGGUUUCUGGUUACUUUUAUUGGUCAAAUCUCAUUUGGUUAAUUUUGUUUGUUUUUGGGCUAAUGAGUGCGGAGUGAUUGAUAUAUCUGUGAGAUUGCUGAUUUCUGAUUGCUGAUAUUUGAGAUUGCUAAUUCCUUAUGCCUGAUUUCUGAUUGGUUAACUCUCUGAUUUUGGUAUGUUGGUUGUUGUAUUGAUGAUGCUAGUUGUUAUUGAUGACAUUGAUG
rnacentral:lncRNA from 1 species